GGCGAACGCUGGCGGCGUGCUUAACACAUGCAAGUCGAACGGAAAGGCCCUGCUUUUUUGGGGUGCUCGAGUUGCGAACUGGUGAGUAACACGUGAGUAACCUGCCCUUGACUUUGGGAUAACUUCAUGAAACUUGGGCCAAUACCGGAUAGGAGCUCCUGCUGCAUGGUGGGGGUUGGAAAGUUUCGGCGGUUGGGGAUGGACUCGCGGCUGAUCAGCUUGUUGGUGGGGUAGUGGCUUACCAAGGCUUUGACCGGUAGCCGGCCUGAGCGGGUGAACGGCCACAUUGGGAGGGAGCUACGGACGGGACACCUACGGACGGGAGGAGGGAGGAGUGAUGCAUGAGCGACGGAAGAAUGACGGACGAAGGCCGGGUGCGGGAAGGAGGACUUCGGGAGGAAAGCAGAUUUCGCCUGUGACGAAGGAUAAGGAAGGGAACUGGAGAAGGAGGCACCGCCUAACUCGGU
rnacentral:rRNA from 1 species